UACGUAGGUGGCAAGCGUUGUCCGGAUUUACUGGGCGUAAAGGGCGUGCAGGCGGUCUGUUAAGUCUAGGGUGAAAGCUCCCGGCUCAACUGGGAGAGGUCCUUGGAUACUGGCGGACUUGGGGGAGACAGAGGAGAGUGGAAUUCCCGGUGUAGUGGUGAUAUGCGUAGAUAUCGGGAGGAACACCAGUGGCGAAGGCGGCUCCCUGGGUCUUACCUGACGCUGAGACGCGAAAGCGUGGGGAGCGAACCGG
rnacentral:rRNA from 1 species